rnacentral:tRNA from 1 species
GCCGGCGUGGCGUAGUGGUAGCGCUUUCCAUUCCUAAUGGAAGGGUCCGGGGUUCGAACCCCCGCGCAGGUU